GACGAACCGUGCGAACGUUAUUCGGAAUCACUGGGCUUAAAGCGCGUGUAGGCGGGCCGGCACGUCGGUCGCUGAAAUCCCCCGGCUCAACUGGGCGGGGUCAGCGGAUACGGUGUGGCUGGAGCAAGCUAGGGGGCAAUGGAAUUCCCGGUGUAGUGGUGGAAUGCGUAGAUAUCGGGAGGAACACCAGUGGCGAAGGCGGUUGCCUGGAGCUUUGCUGACGCUGAUGCGCGAAAGCGUGGGGAGCGAUCCGG
rnacentral:rRNA from 1 species